rnacentral:rRNA from 1 species
GCUUGCUAAGGCCGAUGGCGACCGGCGCACGGGUGAGUAACACGUAUCCAACCUGCCGUCUACUCUUGGACAGCCUUCUGAAAGGAAGAUUAAUACAAGAUGGCAUCAUGAGUUCGCAUGUUCACAUGAUUAAAGGUAUUCCGGUAGACGAUGGGGAUGCGUUCCAUUAGAUAGUAGGCGGGGUAACGGCCCACCUAGUCUUCGAUGGAUAGGGGUUCUGAGAGGAAGGUCCCCCACAUUGGAACUGAGACACGGUCCAAACUCCUACGGGAGGCAGCAGUGAGGAAUAUUGGUCAAUGGGCGCAGGCCUGAACCAGCCAAGUAGCGUGAAGGAUGACUGCCCUAUGGGUUGUAAACUUCUUUUAUAAAGGAAUAAAGUCGGGUAUGUAUACCCGUUUGCAUGUACUUUAUGAAUAAGGAUCGGCUAACUCCGGUGCCAGCAGCCGCGGUAAUACGGAGGAUCCGAGCGUUAUCCGGAUUUAUUGGGUUUAAAGGGAGCGUAGAUGGAUGUUUAAGUCAGUUGUGAAAGUUUGCGGCUCAACCGUAAAAUUGCAGUUGAUACUGGAUAUCUUGAGUGCAGUUGAGGCAGGCGGAAUUCGUGGUGUAGCGGUGAAAUGCUUAGAUAUCACGAAGAACUCCGAUUGCGAAGGCAGCCUGCUAAGCUGCAACUGACAUUGAGGCUCGAAAGUGUGGGUAUCAAACAGG